rnacentral:lncRNA from 1 species
CUGGCACCGCGCGCCCGCUGCCCACCGCCGGGCAUCACCGGACCAAGACGUUUCCCACAGCGGGCUGCAAGGCAGGGUAAACUUGGGAUGACAGUAAUCCCUCUUCUUAGGAAGAUGUCACUGUUUUCAGCGCAUUCCUGGCACAUAUCCCAGGAGAGCAGGACCUUGCUUGUCUUGGCCACUCGGGUCCCUGGUCUGGCACAGGGCCUGAUAGGAAUGCGUUGACAGAAAGAAUAAAAACGCCGAGUCGAGUGGGACUGCGGACUGGUACAGCCACGCUGGACGACGGUUUGCAGGUACUUGUAUAGUUAAACACACGCUUAUCAUGCAGCCCGAACAUUCCACAGCUAGGCGUUUACUCAGGAGAAAUAAAAACCUAGGUUCACACAAAAACCCAUAAAUGAAUGUUUGCCACAGCUUUAUUCAUCAUCACCAAAAACUGGAAACAACCCAAACGUCCCUCAGCUGGUGACGAGAUAAACACAGUGGCACAUCCAUGCAGUGACAGAAGGAGCCCAAAGAGAUGCGCACGCGACGUGGGCGAGUCCCAAAGGCAUGUUGCCUGGGAAAGGAGCCUUGCUUGAAAGGCUACACGCAGCCUGAUGCCAUUUAUGUGAUAUCGAGAUGACGCAGAACUAUGGGGACAGGACACAGACCGGCGGUUGGCGGGAGCGGGGUGUGAGGGGCUGCUGUAAGGGGAUAGGGAUCUGGCAGGUGCAACUCUUCUGUAUUUUGACUGGGGUGGGGGUUACACAACUGUGUGUGUUUUUCAAAACAUAGAACUAUACGUUUAUUUUUACUGUUACUGUGUGCAAGAAACAAGUAACAAUGAAAAAAAAGUUGUAAACUUUCAGAAUCACGGAGCAGAGCGACUGGGUCCCACCAGCCCUCUGGGCAGAGACGAGGGCAGGUGAGAAGUCCUGCAGCCGAGCUUUGACCUCCCCAAACCGGGAAAUGAGGUUGGGCCUGUCCCCCGCCUCCUAGAGCAGGGCCACUUCCACAGCCAUCGGCCCGGCAGAGACUGUUCUGGUCCAUGUGAAGACGGGGCGGGCAGGGCCGGGACUGCAGAUGGGCGGCACCGAUAGUCUGGGGGCUCCGCGGCAGCCUCUGAAGGCUUCCAUCCACUUCUGGCGCUGCGGAGGCCAGGUGUUGCCCGUGGGAGGUCAUCGUGUUGUACUCUCCGCAUUUUUCACGUUUGAACUAUUUCCUUAAUAAACAUGAUCAAUAAUACAGUAAUUUAAAA